CGAGCCGCUGGUGGCGGACGCGUGCGAGUGGGCCCCGCAGUUGCUCCUCCCCCAACCCCGCACAAAACCUCGCCGACCUCGCCGCCUCCGACCGCAGAUUACUCAUUCACUCGUUAGUUUAAGUGUGAGGCCACCGCGUGUGGCGGCGGCGGCGGCGAGGCGUGCGCUCUAUGGCUACUCGUGCAGUCCUGUACCAUGCCUGCAUGCCACCAAUCUGCCAUCACCGCCGCCUGCUCCCACUCGCGGCGGCCGGUGAUCACCACACCGAUACCCGCGGCCCUUGGGGAAAAAACGGCGGCGAUGAGGAAGGGCGACGCGGUUGGCGCCGGCCCGGUUCCCGAGCGGCAGCCCGCCUCGGAUCCCUGCUUCCUCGGGGCCACCCCUCUCCCCGCUCCAACGCGCCGCGUCGGAUUGCAGGCCCUUGGGCGGGCGACGGUGCUGCGGCGGCGGGGGUUGGGGUUGGGGACCGUGGGGGCGGGGUCCGCCGGCGGGUCCUGGUCGGGGGCGUGGCCGGGCAACGCGGGAUCUGAGCCGCCAUUGAUGGAUUUUUUCGAGCGCUUGAUUGCGAUUGUUUCCGUUUUGGUACGCUCGCUGUCUCCUCCUCUUCCUCCUCCGCCUCGUCUCACCGCCGCCAUGGUCGUCGUCGUCGUCGUCCUUCUCCUCCUCCUCCUCGUCUUCCUCUCUUUCUCUCUCUCUCUCGUGUAUGUGUAUGUGUGUAUGUAUAUUUGCACAUUCCAUUCCCCUGAACCCAAACCCUAGAUCGAAUCAACGCUGUGCGCGGGCCAUUAUCUGAAGCGGAUGUCGAUUAAGGUCCCCAUCUCUACGGUGCCGCCUCGCCGCCGUUGCAUUGCCUUGGCAUCGGUGGUGGCAGGGGCUGGGAACUGUGCGGUGGCACCUGACGGGCUUCCGAGUCUGGUUUGGCCGGCCGCGGUGUCCUGAUUCGUUGUUUGGUAUCAAGAAGGUUUCACGUCCCUAACUUAUAUUUGAUGAUGCUGUCUGAUUUAGGAUUUAAGGAUUCUCUGCCAAACAGGCCGAAAAUACUAAUCUGGGGCAAUGAUGAUCAUCCUUUUCUGAAAGCAUGCCUUUGAGCAAUCGAGGCAGCUGUUGGGUAUAAAAUUUAAUCUCACCCUUACUCUUGCAGCCUAUGCUAUCAUACCUUUUUGUUGGCGGUUCUCUGCCUUGGAUGGUCACUCAGAUGAGUGAUAACCGGUGCAGUUCCACUUACAUCAAGAUGAGUUGCUUUUGGAUCAAGAGGUGUUAGGGUUGGGUUUAUAUGAUUGAGAAAAGGCGAAGCUGAGCCCUCUUGAUGCAUGGAUGCAUAUAUACCUUGCUUGCGAUGCCUUCUCUCUAUUCCUGUCGAUGCCCCCGCCUCUGCUGCAGAGGUGAUCUCUUUCGCCUGCUGUUGCCUCUGUGGGCUGUGCUGUGAUCUACUCUGCUCUGCUUUUGAAUGUUCCUAGCCCUUCUGCUCCUCAUCCUCUCCACCUUGGUGGAAUUUGGAUGGUCAGAGGCGAACGAGAUCAGGAUAUGAGAUGAGAUGAGAAAAGAUGUGGUUUUCUGACUUGGGUAAAAGUACCCAGUGUAAGUGAAAUUUUACUUAGGCUGACCAAUUCUGACAUGGAAACAGACGCAGACCUAUGUAUGGGUUGCUGAUGACUGAUGAGGGGUGAUGAUGUUCAACCUUUUCUGAAUUGCAUGCCAUUGAAUAAUCAAGGUAGUUGUGGGUAUCUAAUUUGAGCUGAGCUCUCCCCUCUUGAAGCCUAUUUAACCAUCCCUUAUUGUUUGUGGUUCUGUGCCUAGGAUGGUCAUUCAGAUAUGUGAUAACCAGCGCAGUUCCACUUACAUUAGGAUGAGUAAAUUUGUGCAGCAAUGGAUGUGAGAGCUAGGCUUCUAUGAUUGAGCAAAGGCGAAGCUGAGCCCUCUCAGUGCUGUUUCAAUAUUUCAGCAUUGUCUUUCUGUACAAUUCAUUUUCUCUCUGUCUAUCUGUCUGUCUAUCUGUCUGUCUAUCUAUCUAUCUUUUCAUCUUUCAAACUAUCAUCAGCUUGAAAAUUUAACAAUGUGGAAAAAUGCCUUCAUGCUGAAGUCAGAACUCGACUAGUAACAGUGGCCCUCUCGGACCUGUGCUUCCCGGGGCCAUCCUUCCUGCUGUGACAUUUUGACUUUUAGGAUCUCAAGCAGCUGUGCAUGUUCGCAGCAGCAGAGGAUUGGGAACCGUGGAGCAGGUUUGCUGUGGUUCCCAGUUGGGGUUUUGUCAGGCAGUGUGAGAGCUGGCCUGUGAUUGAUGGAUCCUUGCCUCCCUCGUUUGUUUAUCUGUUUGUAUAUGCACUCAUGUCUGAAUUUUUGCUUACAUGCAUGCCUUUGAGAAUUUGAGAAUGCCAUGUGUAAAUUGACCCACAUAUUUAUAUGAAAAUGGAGUGCUAACGAGUGGGCGAGUGGCAAUGAUGAUGAGCCCUUUCUAAAAGACUUGCCUUUGAUGUUCCAUCAAUCGAGCCAGCUGUGGUAUCAAAUUUGACCUUGACCCUGUCCUCUGUUGCGCCUAUGCAACCAUUCCUUGUUUGUGGUUCUCUGCCUAGGAUGGUCAUUCAGAUGAGUGAUAACCUAGCUCCCUCUCAUGGCCUUCCUUUCCUGGUGGCGAUGACUGGACGAGCAUGGUGCCCUUCGUCACGUUUUCAUCAGGUCAUUCUCUGGUGACAGGCACCCACUAGGUAUGCUCAUCCCUUCUCUUUCCUUCCUGCUGUGCAAAAUGGAGCACCCCAAACCCUAAUGUAAGCUAUUUGUAUUCAGGUCUGACCCAGUUACAAGUAUAUGUAUGUAUUGUACCUACUAACUUCGAUCUUUUUGGCAAAAAUUAUCAGGUGUACAUUUGUACACCCAUGUCCUAUACUGGGUUCUGUGGUUCUGCCCCUGUUCUUGAACAGCUGCCACAAGGUCAGUGGUGGCACCUAGGGGUGUGAACUGCAAGUUGGUUUUUUGUUUGGGUGCUUUCCAGUCGCACUUUUUUACUUGGAAUUUUCAACCCCCCUUUUGAAACACCCCUCAAAAAAAAGAGGAAAAAAGAGAAGGAUAAAAGAAAUCUCAAUCCAUAUCCCACUAUACAUCCACGUUUUGCUGGGCAUGGUCAUCUGGAGUUUUCCCUUGAAUAUAUGGGGCAGAUCUGUGUUCCAAACAGGCCACAAACUGCCUCUUCCCCCAGUCUCCCUCUCACCUCACUCUUUCUGCUCACAUGCAGUACCUCACUUCUUGUGUUUUAUAUGGGGACGGAAGAUACUUGUUAUUGUUUAUGAUGCUGUGUGAUAUUUCUUUUUUGUUUGUUCUACUCUUGAGUGGCUAUGAUGAUUCACCUUCCCAUUAGAGAGAUUAUGCUCUCUAGCAUCAUCUUAUUUGGUACCUGUGGUAUUAUUAUGCUCUCUAGCAUCAUCUUAUUUGGUACCUGUGGUAUUUUGUAUUUUUUGCUGCUUAACUAGGAUGGCUUGUGCAACAAGUAACCAGUUCUGCAGCCAACUGCGGCGGCUGAUGUCUGUUACUGCUGAUAGUAACGACAGCUGGUGGCCCAUUUGAUCGGACAUUGGACAAUGCUGUUUAAAAGUUCAUUUGGGGAGAGAGAGAGAGAGCUUACAUUGUAUUGCAGUUGUCCUGCUGAUAAUGGGUUAAAUCUGAGCCAUUCAAGUGAUCUCUUUUUCCUUUCUUUCUUGAAGCCUGUCUGAAUAACACCUGAGUUUGUAAGUCUUUAAAUGACAUAUAUGUUGAGAUGUGCCAUGGUCCAAAUGUUGUUGUGAGGAGUGAUAUUGGUGUGGAAUCCAAAACCACCUAACCCACUCUUUGGACUAUGCAAAACCUACGGAGUUACCCCCAGGGUUAUUUUGAAGGUGGCUUUUGGUGCCAUUGCAGUUAAUCUGUUCUUUGAUUUGAUUGCUUCAAACGUUUGGUUUUGUACUCUUUUGAGCUCUUAGCUACUUAUUCCUUUGUGCCGUCUUGCAUGCCCUGUUGAUCUCUACAGCUCUGCGAUUCUGUCUUGCAUUGCUGACCUGGAUCUCUAGGGGCUCUUCACUUCACUUCCCUUCCUGCUGGAUUCGAACCUGGGACCUUGGUCAAUGUUAGUGGGACUAAUGUGUCAAAUCAGUUCAAUCUCAUUGACUACCUGCCUUGGUCUCAAGAAUGAAAAAAAUGAAAUUCCAAUUGGGGGCAAUGAUCAACAAUGAUGUCUGAGAUAAGCACAUUUGAGGAAUCAGGGCUGCUGUUGGCAUUAAACUGGAAUCCUCUCUCUCCUCUCUUGGAAACCUUUCCAACUAUGCUCAAAUGGUUUUGUCCUUGGAUGGUCAUGCCAUUUUUCAUGGGUGAUAACCAGGACAGCUCCGCUUAUCUCAACAGGUUGAUCUGGUGAUAAGAGAAGGCGCGGAUACAGUUAUAUGAUCGAGCAAAGGUGAAGGAUCGAGCAAAGUUACCUUCUACCUUGCUGCAAUAUCAGUGCUUACCUUUCAUGAAGAUACUUUCAGUUACCUUUGUUUAUCUCAAAAUUUCUUCCAAUGAUUUCUUGAGUUAUGUUUAGGUCCUGUACUCCUGUUGGACCUGGUUGAGUUUGGACUCUGAAGGCAUUGAACUUUUGGCAAUUGCUAGUAACCUUUGGGCCAUCAGAACUAUUAUAUCUGUGCAUUGUUGAUCCA